AUUGCAGGCUGCAACUCGCCUGCAUGAAGUCGGAAUUGCUAGUAAUCGUGGAUCAGCAUGCCACGGUGAAUACGUUCCGGGCCUUGUACACACCGCCCGUCACACCAUGGGAGUCGGUAACACCCGAAGCCUGUAGUCUAACCGCAAGGAGGACGCAGUCGAAGGUGGGAUUGAUGACUGGGGUGAAGUCGUAACAAGGUAUC
rnacentral:rRNA from 1 species